UGAGACUACGGCUGGCAAUGGGCAAACGCAACAUGCUGGGAGACAGUCAGAAAGACAGCAUCAUGAUAUCAACACUCUGCGGCAUGGGUGUUACCCGAUCGGCCGCAACAUUAAAACCACCGACAGCUCAAUGUACCACCCACCAAAACAUUGCUGCAGACCAAUUACACAGCCUGAAUCACAAUGGAACUUCCUGACCACAGCGGACUCCCCCAGCAGGACAUUUUCAUCCUACCAUACUGUCAAAACAGCUCAGGAAUGGUUCGAGGAACAUGACCAAGAGCACAAGGCGUUGACCCAACCUCCAAACUCUCCACUCGGGGCUUCUGGUGGUCCACCGUGGCUAGGAAGGACAUCUCUGAGCUGACGAGGAGGAGCCUGAUCCCGCUGUUUGACUUCCAGUAGCUGCCUGGCCACCGCCUUCUUUCUACUCCCUCUCUCCCUCUCUCCCUCCCUCCCUCCUGACUCUCCUCCUCCUCCUCAGCCGCUCCUGCUGCAGCAGAGCCCGGUGUCUCCAUGAAGAAAGCCCCCCUGCUCGGCACCUCCCCCGCCGCGAUGGGCCGCCAGCUAUUAACUGCGUUGAUGUGUUGAUAUCGAGAUAUUUCAGUUAUCAAAUAUGAAUCAUGCAUUUGAUAUUUCUGGCCACUUUGCUCGUCAGCGUCCUCUCGCCUUGGCUUCAUCCAUCACUAGCUUCAUCCGUUUCUCAAGGAGUAGAGGACAAGGUUGAGAGGGACGCAGUGCCAGUACUGCUGAAGCAACAGGCAACUGCAGCACCUGCCUCAGACAACACAACACACCAUGCAGUAGAGCAUGUGAUCACCUACCCCUCUCGGUUGAUCUACUACCUGAACGAGGACUCGGAGAGCACCUACCAUGACCUGAACACCCGGGCCAAGAACCAGCCCACAGAAGGCCAGGCGAUCCACCUCGCCCAAGCCAGUUUCCAGUUAGAGGCAUUCGGCUCCAGAUUUAUUCUGGAUCUAUCGCUGAACAAUGACUUGCUGUCUUCAGAUUAUGUUGAGAUCCACUAUGAAGGGGGGAAGCCUGUUCUGUCAAAGGGCGGUGAGCACUGUUACUACCACGGCCAGGUGAGAGGGAACGAUAACUCCCAUGUGGCCUUAUCUACCUGCAACGGGUUGCACGGGAUGUUUGACGAUGGAGUCCAUGUGUAUCUAAUUGAGCCCUUACAACAGACCCAUUCAAUUGAUACAGCUGCAAGGCCUCACAAACUCAGAAGAACAGCCUCCCUUCCCUGGAACAAUGAUUCAGAGGAACAGGAGGAGGAGGAGGAGCAGCUCUUCUCAGAGCUGGAUGAAUUAUCCUGGCUGAAGCGCAGGAAAAAGCGAGCAAUGCCUCGCAGUGUAUUUGAGGAGAUGAAGUAUUUGGAAGUCAUGAUAGUCAGUGACCACAGUAUGUAUAAACGACACAAGAACAAGCAGCACACGAGGAAUUUUGCCAAGUCAGUAGUGAAUCUUGUGGAUGGUAUCUUCAAAGACCAGCUACAUACGCGUGUGGUGCUCGUUGCUGUGGAGAUCUGGACGGACAAGGAUCAUAUCCCCAUAAGUGUGAGGCCACUGGAAAUGCUGCGGGAUUUCGGCAAGUACAGGCAGCAAAGCAUCAAGCACCACGCCGAUUCUGUACAGCUCCUCUCAAAUGCGACCUUCCACUACCGCAGAAGUAGCACCGCAUACUUUGGAGGCAUGUGUUCAGUGAGCCGUGGAGUCGGGGUCAAUGAGUACGGCACCGCCUGGUCCAUGGUGGGGUCUCUAGCCCAGAGCCUGGCACAGAACCUGGGCAUCCAGUGGGACCCAGCAGCCAAGAGAAAGGAAUGUGGUUGUGUUAACCUGUGGGGUGGCUGCAUAAUGGAGGACACUGGAGUUCAACACCCACAAAGAUUCUCCAAAUGCAGCAUCACAGACUACAAGGAGUUCCUCCUUAAAGGUGGAGGCUCGUGUCUGUUUAACAGACCAACCAAGCUGUUUGAGGUAGCAGAUUGCGGGAACGGAUUUGUAGAAGUGGGAGAGGAGUGUGACUGUGGCGGGAGAGCGGACUGCACCAAGGAAUGCUGCAAGAAAUGUUCCCUCGCCAACGGGGCCCACUGCAGUGACGGACCGUGCUGCAACACCACAUGUCUGUUCUAUCCACGAGGUUACAGUUGUCGCUAUGCUGUGAACGACUGCGAUAUCUCAGAAACCUGCUCUGGAGACUCUGGACAGUGCCCUCCCAACCUUCAUAAACAAGAUGGUUACCUCUGCCAGGUAAACCAGGGACGCUGCUACAACGGGGAGUGCAAGACCAGAGAGAACCAGUGUAAAUACAUCUGGGGGUCAAAGGCUGGAGGUUCAGAAAAGUUCUGCUACGAGAAGCUGAACACAGAGGGCACAGAGAAGGGCAACUGUGGGAAGGAUGGAGACAAAUGGGUCCAGUGUAGCAAACACGACGUGUUCUGUGGUUACCUCUUGUGCACCAAUGUUGGACGUAUCCCACGCAUCGGAAUGAUGAAAGGAGAAGUUACCCCCACCUCCUUCAAUCACCAAGGCAACGUGAUACAGUGCACUGGUGCCCAUGUCCUCUUGGAUGAUGACACUGAUUUAGGCUACGUGGAGGACGGGACCCCCUGUGGGCCGUCAAUGAUGUGCCUUGACCACAAGUGUCUGCCCAUCCAGUCACUCAACAUGAGCACCUGCCCCAGCGGACCUAAUGGACAGGUGUGCUCUGCCCAUGGGGUGUGCAACAAUGAAGCCACAUGCACCUGUGACACCACCUGGGCGGGGACAGACUGUAGCAUGCCUGACCCGCCUAAAGAGCCUGACGACCAUAUAGAUGAAGUACCUAAGGUGAGCGUGGCCACUAACAGGCUGAUAGGGGCAGUAGCAGGGACCAUUCUGGCCCUAGGGGUGAUUUUUGGAGGCACAGGGUGGGGAAUAGAGUCCUAGUGCCACCAAUCUAAUAAUAGGCUCCAUCGCCGGAGCCAUCCUUGUGGCUGCCAUAGUGCUGGGGGGGACUGGAUGGGGCUUUAAGCUGAGGCUUUAAAUGGAGUGGUGAGAGCGACAGAGACAGAGAGAAGCCAGGACUUUUUGUUGCCUGCAGCCUUUGUGCCAUGGCUGGCCACACCCACCUGGAUGGCCAGGCUCCGCCCUAGAGCAGAGCAGGACUCUCGGACCCCGCCCACACCGGCUGCCAUUGCUGCCUGCUUCACAGACCUGAAAUGUGAAGAAACGGCGAUACGACCCCAACGCCACAGCCAUUUAACCCAAGGAGAGAUGGCAAUCAGAGACGGACUCCUCCAAGGCUUCCUUAGUUGGCUACCUGACAGCUGGACUGCACUUAACUGCUGCUGAUCUUUGGCAUUAGAUUUACUUGAAAAAGACAUAGUGGACAUUUUGACAAAUUCCAUCGUAGUGACAUUAUAAAUGCAGCCUUCUCAACUCCACCUCACCCAUGUAACAACUGACCCCCCUUUCUCCCUAUCUCCCCCACUCCCAUCCUGAUCUCUAGAGUGACAGAGCUCCUCUUCCAUCCUUUAGUGCCAGUGCACAGGCGUUCAGGCGGAAUCCACACCACUCUCUCACCUGGCAUGAUUAUCCACACAAAGCGUGCUGCUUGCUGGCCUCCUGGCAUGAAGAGCCCUCUUUAAAGGGCUCUGCAUGGCUACCAAAGCUAUGAAUAUAUCGCAAAAAAAACAUACAAAAAAAAUCUUUCCAGUGCAGGAGAAAGCCUCGUUAAAAACCAAACGCGGUCGAAGGCCCAUUAAAGCUCCUGUAGUUCACGUUUGGGUGCUGCAGAAGAUUAAGGAGGCUGCAUGUGAGGUCCCAUAAGGGCGGUGCAGACCACAUAGUGAAUGCACACACACAAAACUACUGUACAUAAGUAAAGAGUUCAGGUUUGGAAUUGACAGCAUAUUUUACAAGGACAUUAAUUGCUUUUGUGUUUUUUUUUGUUUGUUUUUUUUUAAUCUCAGCAUGUUGUAUAGCGGGUGUUUUUGGCAAUGUUAUUGAAGAAAAAAGACACUGAAAUUCUGAUCAAAAUAGUGGACAAAGCAGCUGUGGUGUCGAGGAGAAGCUUGUCAGUUCUAGAGAGAUUCAGACUGUGAUCACGUUCGAUUAACGUCACGAGAUUCCUCCCCCCAACCCCCCCGAAGUAUCCUCUCAACAGUGACUCAAAAGCCAAAGAACCAAUCACCUGAACAUAUGGAUGUUGUUGCACACAGAGCACUUUCCCCCCCCACUCUGUCUGCAGCCAGUGGUGCCUCUCGUACUGCUGAGGGCAUGAAGUCUGUCCGUGCAGACGCUCACUUAACAGUCCUCAUCAACACCCACUAUACUGGCUUAGCCUUUUUUGCUCUCAUAAACUCUUAGUAGGAACCAAGUUCAGCUCUACUGGUAACGCUGCAUGCAAUCACUAUAGUGGGCUUAUAAUUCUAUAUGGGAGUCCCCAAAAUCCGCAAGAAAAAUAUGCUACAAAAGAUAGGUGCAUGUCAAACAACAAAAAAACAUUUAACUUUUAUUUACUAUGCAAAGAGAGAUAUUGCACAAAAGUAUGGGUAAUAGUGAUAACAAUAUAGACAUGGAAUUACAAAAAAAAAGACUGCUAAUCAGCUAAUCUUUUGUAUUUGGCCACUCCCACCUCUCCUUUCAUUUUCGCUUCAACGUACUCAGACUGUGGAUGGACAAACAACUACACAAAAGAAGUGAAUUACUAUUUCCAGUGAAAUGCGAGAGAGCAACCUUUUACAUUUGUGGAACUGAAAAAAAAUCAUUUUUGUGUGUUUUUCAUCCAAUCUGAUGUUUUUAAUCAAACACAAACACACACAUGCACACACAGACACACACUGUAUGGUGCCUGUACAUAUUGGGGCCUGAACAGUUUCCUUGUGCAGGGCUAUCAUUUCCAGUCCAGCUGAUAGUUGGUGUGUUCCAGGUGCUGCCAUAGCACUGGCAUCGUUGUAAUCCUCCAUGUUACUCAUCGUCUAGUGUUCCUCUCUCACUGCAUCAUGUACAGUUGGACCGAUUAAUAAACUACUGACAAAUUUUA